rnacentral:rRNA from 1 species
UACGUAGGGGGCAAGCGUUGUCCGGAUUUAUUGGGCGUAAAGAGCGUGUAGGCGGCUAGGUAGGUCCGUUGUGAAAACUCGAGGCUCAACCUCGAGACGUCGAUGGAAACCAUCUAGCUAGAGUCCGGAAGAGGAGAGUGGAAUUCCUGGUGUAGCGGUGAAAUGCGCAGAUAUCAGGAAGAACACCCGUGGCGAAGGCGGCUCUCUGGUACGUGACUGACGCUGAAACGCGAAAGCGUGGGGAGCGAACAGG